UACGAAGGGGGCGAGCGUUGUUCGGAUUUACUGGGCGUAAAGGGCGCGUAGGCGCUUGUCAGUCAGGCGUGAAAGCCCCGGGCUCAACCUGGGAACGGCGCUUGGGACGGCGAGGCUGGAGUUCGGGAGAGGAGAGUGGAAUUCCCAGUGUAGAGGUGAAAUUCGUAGAUAUUGGGAAGAACACCGGUGGCGAAGGCGGCUCUCUGGGCCGAUACUGACACUGAGGAGCGAAAGCGUGGGGAGCGAACAGG
rnacentral:rRNA from 1 species